rnacentral:lncRNA from 1 species
UUUUAAAUUUUUACUUGAAUUUACUUUCUUUACCAAUUUCCAAGAGCUUUUAUCAAGGGCUAAGUGGGGUUUUGGCUAGAAUAUAAAGUUCUGAACUUUUUGUCAGAGAAGAUGAUUUUCUUGCUCCAGGGGAGCAUUUUAUCAAAAUUUAUCACAAUUCUUGAAUUCAGUGUAGCUAAAAGUUUUUAUUUUUGGAUCUUUUUGAUUUUCAAUAGGUAUAGAGGCACUUAGUUGUAAUUGAACGGCUAUUGGAAACAGCCUCUCUAGCUUAACAAGGUAGGGGUAAGGUUUACCUACAUUAUAGAGGUAGGUAUAGAGGCACUUAGUUACCUACAUUAUAUCUUCCCAGAUCCCACACUUCUACCUCCCCCAGACCCCAGUGGGGAUUACACUGGUCUGUUGUUGUAGUACAGAGGCACUUAGUUUUGGAUAUUUUCUUGAUUUGGAACUUGAGA